CCUACGGGUGGCAGCAGUGAGGAAUAUUGGUCAAUGGGCGAGAGCCUGAACCAGCAACGUCGCGUGAGGGAGUACUGCCCUAUGGGUUGUAAACCUCUUUUGUCGGGGCGCAAAAGCCGGACGUGUCCGGCUGUGAGGGUACCCGAAGAAAAAGCAUCGGCUAACUCCGUGCCAGCAGCCGCGGUAAUACGGAGGAUGCGAGGGUUAUCCGGAUUUAUUGGGUUUAAAGGGCGCGCAGGCGGAUUGUUAAGUCAGCGGGAAAAUCGUGGGGCUCAACCCCAUCCAGCCGUUGAAACUGGGGAUCUAGAGUGUGCGAGAGGUAUGCGGAAUGCGUGGUGUAGCGGUGAAAUGCAUAGAUAUCACGCAGAACCCCGAUUGCGAAGGCAGCAUACCGGUGCACAACUGACGCUCAGGCACGAAAGCGUGGGUAUCGAACAGGAUUAGAUACCCCUGUAGUC
rnacentral:rRNA from 1 species